CCCUGGUGGUUCAAAUGGUGAAGAAUCUGCCUACAAUGCAGAAGACUCGGGUUCCAUCCCUGGGUCAGGGA
rnacentral:tRNA from 1 species